rnacentral:rRNA from 1 species
AGAGUUUGAUUCUGGCUCAGGAUGAACGCUAGCUACAGGCUUAACACAUGCAAGUCGAGGGGUAGCAGGGUAGCAAUACCGCUGACGACCGGCGCACGGGUGAGUAACACGUAUCCAACCUUCCCAUAACUCAGGGAUAGCCUUUCGAAAGAAAGAUUAAUACCUGAUAGUACUUUUUCAAGGCAUCUUGAGAAAGUUAAAGAUUUAUUGGUUAUGGAUGGGGAUGCGUUCCAUUAGAUAGUUGGUGAGGUAACGGCUCACCAAGUCUUCGAUGGAUAGGGGUUCUGAGAGGAAGGUCCCCCACAUUGGUACUGAGACACGGACCAAACUCCUACGGGAGGCAGCAGUGAGGAAUAUUGGUCAAUGGGCGAGAGCCUGAACCAGCCAAGUAGCGUGAAGGAAUGAAGGUCCUAUGGAUUGUAAACUUCUUUUAUAGUAGAAUAAAGUGAUCCACGUGUGGAUUUUUGUGUGUAUACUAUGAAUAAGGAUCGGCUAACUCCGUGCCAGCCGCCGC